GGGUGGUAAUACCGGAUGCUCCGCUCCAUCGCAUGGUGGGGUGGGAAAUGCUUUUGCGGCAUGGGAUGGGGUCGCGUCCUAUCAGCUUGUUGGCGGGGUGAUGGCCCACCAAGGCGUUGACGGGUAGCCGGCCUGAGAGGGUGACCGGCCACAUUGGGACUGAGAUACGGCCCAGACUCCUACGGGAGGCAGCAGUGGGGAAUAUUGCACAAUGGGCGCAAGCCUGAUGCAGCGACGCCGCGUGCGGGAUGGAGGCCUUCGGGUUGUAAACCGCUUUUGUUCAAGGGCAAGGCACGGUUUCGGCCGUGUUGAGUGGAUUGUUCGAAUAAGCACCGGCUAACUACGUGCCAGCAGCCGCGGUAAUACGUAGGGUGCGAGCGUUAUCCGGAUUUAUUGGGCGUAAAGGGCUCGUAGGCGGUUCGUCGCGUCCGGUGUGAAAGUCCAUCGCCUAACGGUGGAUCUGCGCCGGGUACGGGCGGGCUGGAGUGCGGUAGGGGAGACUGGAAUUCCCGGUGUAACGGUGGAAUGUGUAGAUAUCGGAA
rnacentral:rRNA from 1 species